CCGAGUUCACGUUGUCAGGGGCGGCUGCCAUGGCCAGGCAGGUCGUGCUGCCGGCGGUGCUGUGAAUCAGCAGGUUAUCCGGUGGCAGCGUCACGUUCAUGCCCGUGAACAUGAAGGUUAUCGUGGGCGCUGCUAUGGGCACCGUGUAGCAUGUGUCGAAUCCCCCCAGUGACGUUACUGUCAAGUUCCUCCCCACCCUGUUUCUGAACGCGUCUCUCACUGCUAUGUACGCCGGCGUUACGAGCCUCGUGAACACCGUCCCUGGUUCACAACCCUCUUUGUAAUUAUACUUCCAUUCGUUUACAAAACUAAAUCAUUCCUUAAUUCCCUUUCUUCAGUUAUAAUUCAAAAUUUUCAAUUUUAAAUGAAAAUGAUAAGUUCACUAUAGUUAAUUUCUUCGAAUUGUUUUCCGACGGAUAUCACAAAAUAUCAUAUUUAUCGACCGAUAUUAUAUCCGAAAAAGCAAUUCGAUAAAUCUAACUAAAGUACUCGGCAUUACUCACUAUUAAAAUAAAAUGUUUAAAUUUUAAACCAUUAAUUAUGUUAAUUUUUUUUAUCACUUCAUGUGAUAGGUGAUUGUUAAAGGUCUUUUAAUGAUUACCUAUCACAUCAAUGAGAUAUAGAAUAUGAUAAAGUAUGGCAAUAAUGUUAAUAAGUAUUAACAUUAAUACCUAUAUUGUAUAUGCAGUAGUGUUUACAAUUUUUUUAAGUAUGGAGGAAAAUUAACUAGAGAAAUAAAGAUUUUGUGAAUAGAAAAGGUUACCGGAG
rnacentral:lncRNA from 1 species